rnacentral:tRNA from 1 species
GCGAGAGUAGUUCAUCGGUAGAACGUCUCNNGCGGGUUCAAUUCCCGUCUCUCGCUCCA